ACAUUUACAGAACACGCAUGACUUGCCAGUGAACUUGGCCGCUACAUGGCCGUACCAACUGCUUUCUCUGUACUUCACACUCGUAACAAUAACGUGCACGAGCUUUCAUUCACGAGUCACUCCCUACGCUUAAAUGCAUGUUUACAGAACACGCAUGACUUGCCAGUGAACUUGGCCGCUACAUGGCCGUACCAACCGCUUUCUCUGUACUUCACACUCGUAACAACAAGGUGCACGAGCUUUCAUUCACGAGUCACUCCCUACGCUUAAAUGCACGUUUACAGAACACGCAUGACUUGCCAGUGAACUUGGCCGCUACAUGGCCGUACCAACUGCUUUCUCUGUACUUCACACUCGUAACAAUAAGGUGCACGAGCUUUCAUUCACGAGUCACUCCCUACGCUUAAAUGCACGUUUACAGAACACGCAUGACUUGCCAGUGAACUUGGCCGCUACAUGGCCGUACCAACCG
rnacentral:lncRNA from 1 species